GACGAACGCUGGCGGCGUGCCUAAUACAUGCAAGUCGAACGAAGUAGGAAGUGCUUGCACAGAUUACUUAGUGGCGAACGGGUGAGUAACACGUAGGAAACUUACCCCAAAGACGAGGAUAACUGGGAGAAAUUUCAGCUAAUACUGGAUAGGUAGUAAAAGCGCAUGCUUUAACUAUUAAAGAGGCUCAUGGCCUUGCUUUGGGAUGGUCCUGCGGUGCAUUAGUUAGUUGGUGGGGUAAAGGCCUACCAAGACGAUGAUGCAUAGCCGACCUGAGAGGGUGAUCGGCCACACUGGGACUGAGACACGGCCCAGAAUCCUACGGGAGGCAGCAGUAGGGAAUAUUUCACAAUGGAGGAAACUCUGAUGGAGCAAUGCCGCGUGUAUGAAGAAGGCUUUCGGGUCGUAAAGUACUGUUAUAAGGGAAGAACAUGUAGAUCAGGAAAUGGGUUUACACUGACGGUACCUUAUCAGAAAGGGACGGCUAACUACGUGCCAGCCGCCGCAGUAACAC
rnacentral:rRNA from 1 species